AAAGUCCAAGAAAGACUCCAAAAAGGAAUCCAAGAAAGAUAAGAAAGGAAAGGACAAAUUUGUCCUUUCCUUUCUUAUCUUUCUUGGAUUCCUUUUUGGAGUCUUUCUUGGACUUUU
rnacentral:ribozyme from 1 species